rnacentral:rRNA from 1 species
AGGGGGACCUUCGGGCCUCUUGCCAUCAGAUGUGCCCAGAUGGGAUUAGCUAGUAGGUGGGGUAAUGGCUCACCUAGGCGACGAUCCCUAGCUGGUCUGAGAGGAUGACCAGCCACACUGGAACUGAGACACGGUCCAGACUCCUACGGGGCCGCGUGUAUGAAGAAGGCCUUCGGGUUGUAAAGUACUUUCAGCGAGGAGGAAGGCAUUAAGGUUAAUAACCUUAGUGAUUGACGUUACUCGCAGAAGAAGCACCGGCUAACUCCGUGCCAGCAGCCGCGGUAAUACGGAGGGUGCAAGCGUUAAUCGGAAUUACUGGGCGUAAAGCGCACGCAGGCGGUCUGUCAAGUCGGAUGUGAAAUCCCCGGGCUCAACCUGGGAACUGCAUUCGAAACUGGCA